GACGAACGCUGGCGGCGUGCCUAACACAUGCAAGUCGAGCGGGGAUUUAAGUGGAAGUUCUUCGGAAUGGAGAUUUAAAUUCUAGCGGCGGACGGGUGAGUAACGCGUGAACAAUCUGUCCCGGACAGGGGGAUAACACUUGGAAACAGGUGCUAAUACCGCAUAAGACCACGGCCUCGCAUGGGGCUGAGGUAAAAGGAGCAAUCCGGUUCGGGGUGAGUUCGCGUCCGAUUAGCUAGUUGGUGAGGUAACGGCCCACCAAGGCGACGAUCGGUAGCCGGCCUGAGAGGGUGAACGGCCACAGUGGAACUGAGAGACGGUCCAAACUCCUACGGGAGGCGGCAGUGGGGAAUAUUGGGCAAUGGGCGAAAGCCUGACCCAGCAACGCCGCGUGAGGGAAGAAGGUUUUCGGAUUGUAAACCUCUGUCCUAUGGGACGAAGGAAGUGACGGUACCAUAGGAGGAAGCCCCGGCUAACUACGUG
rnacentral:rRNA from 1 species